rnacentral:lncRNA from 1 species
CAGAAGAAUCACAUAAACUAUUUAAAAAAAUUGCGGGGCCGGCCCCGUAGCUGAGUGGUUAAGUUUGCAGGCUCCGCUGCGGCGGCCCAGGGUUUCGCCAUUUGGGAUCCUGGGCACAGACAUGGCACCGCUUGUCAGGCCUUGUUGAGACAGCGCCCCACAUGCCACAAGCAGAAGGACCCACAACUAAGAAUAUACAAUUAUGUGCCGGGGGGCUUUGGGGAGGAAAAAAAGAAAAUCGGCAACAGAUGUUAGCUCAGGUGCCAAUCUUUUUAAAAAAAUCGUAUCUCACAGGUAGAAGUGAUGCGUAAGAAUCUGGAAACACUUUUCUCUGUGGGCCUGGGGCUAGUUUUCUGAGUCGUGUAUGAGGCUCUUCUUUCUUCAAUUUGAAAGAUUACAGCAGUUCUGUAUGUUAAACUUGUCUGAUAAACAACACGCUAAAUCUCUAAAUCUAUGAUCCUAGGAAAAAUGAGAUAAAGUAAGAGAGACUGUGUGUUUUGGUAAAUUAUACAGACAAUAUUAUAAAUAUUUUGCCUUGCGUCUCACAAAGACAUCACCUCUGCAAGGGCACACUGGCAAGCGUGUCUAGUGGGAAGAAACAUUUUCACUUAAUAAGGAUAAAUGAUUGUUAGGAACCGAAUAUUUGUGCCCCUCCCCCCCACCCGCCUCCCGCUCCUCGAGUUCAUACCUUGAGAUCCUAACCCCCGAUGUGAUGGUAGGAGGAAGUGGAAGUGGGGCCAUUGGAAGGUGAUUAGGUUAAGAGGGUGGAGUCCUCAUGAAGGGGAUUAGUGCCCUUAUAAAAGAGACCCCAGAGAGUUCCCUCACCUCUUCUGCCACGUGAGGACACAGUGGGAAGACAGUUGUCUACGAGACAGGCUCUCCCCAGACACCAAAUCUACUGGCACCCUGAUCUUGGACUUCCUAGCCUCCAGACGGUGAGAAAUAAAUAUUUUCUGUUUAAGCCACCCGGUCUAUGGUAUUUUUGUUAUGGCAGCCUGAAAGGACUAAGAUGAUGUAUACCUAUCACUGUUUUGUGAGCUGUGGGGUUCUUAUCUAACUUUUACAGUGGAUGACACCAAAGACUUAUGCUUAGGAAUAGUAGCGAAGAAUCCUAUUUCAGUGAAUAGCACCAUCAUGCAUCCAGUUUUCAAGCCCCAAAUCCUUUCAAUCUUGAUACUUUCAUCUCUCACACUUUCAUGUUCAAAUUAUCACAAAAAUCCUGUCAUUUUAAUGCCUGUGUAUCUCCUCUCUCCACCAAAACUACUCUAGUCCUGAAUACCAGUACCUCUCGGACUGCUCCUUAGCCUCUGGACUUUUCUAUCUUUUCUGUCACUCUUGCCUCAGGAUAUUCCAGUCAGAUCUUCACAAUAUAGCCUUGUGAUCUUUUUUUUCUUUUUUUUGAGAAAGAUUAGCUCUGAGCUCACUGUUGACAGUCCUCCUCUUUUUGCUGAGGAAAACUGACCCUGAACUAAUAUCCAUGCCCAUCUUCCUUUACUUUCUACUUUCUAUGUGGGAUGCCUGCCACAGCAUGGCAUGCAAGUGGUGCCAUGUCCGCACCUGGGAUCAGAACAGACAAACCCUGGGCCACCGAGAAGCAGAAUGUGUGCACUUAACCGCUGUGCCACUGAGCUGGCCCCAAGCCUUGUGAUCUUUACAAAAGGCAAACAUGAGCAUAUUAUUCAACACCGUGUUAUACCACUUACGAACUCCGCAAUUGAGACCCUUAUUCCUGGGAUAAAGUGAGAAACUCCUUAAGCUACAGCCAUGGCCCCUACCUCCUUCCCAGCUUCACGUGGCUCUGUGAUCCUUCUCAUUUUUCAGUCCACUCACACUGGCUUUCUUCCCAGUCAUAAAAUGGACCCUGCUCCUUCCCUUUGCAGAUGCUGUUCCCUCUGGAAAGUUUACUGUCUGCUCCUUGCCUCGAAUUGCAUUUCCUUCUAAGCAUCAUUCAGAAUUAGGUUCAAGUGAUGUCUCUGUUGAGGUGAAGUCCCUGAGAUAGCAGAGGGCACUCUCCUUCCUGGCUCUUUUCCCCAUUGCAGUUUCCACUUCUUUGUGUGGCUUGUGUAUUUUGUAGUUGUCACUUCUCCUGUACACUCGAAGUACCUGGACAGCAAGAGCAGAGGUGGAAUUUGCUCAUUGUUUAUCUCCAGUGCCUGGCACUUAAAAGUCACACAACACAUACUUAUUUUAAGACUCCAAGCUCCAUGAGGGCAGAGGCAAUGUCUGUAUUGUUCACAUGUGUAUAUCUGAUACCAUACACAUUCCUAGGAUGAGUAAAUACAUUUUCAAAGCACUUUCUCAUUUAUUUUGUUUGACUCUCCCAACUAUUUCUUGAGAUAAACAACUCAAGUUCCCACUCCUCGUGCAUUUGGCACUUCAUCUUGAACACAAUACAUCUCUAAAUCUAGUGCUUAUCAAAGGCAUUAAAUUAUGUUUUCCUGUCUUUCAAUUCAUUCUGAUAGUUUAUUAUUAUUUCAAGGCUUUUUUAUGCAUUGUACAAUUUGAGUGAGGAUCCCACAUCUCUUAAAGCAUUAUAGGUGUACAUUGUUCAUCCUUAUUCAGAGUUUUUCCCACUAGACAUGCCCAUGAAGGCUUUGUGGGACGCAUGGCAAACUAUCUACAGCAUUGUCUAUAUAACUUACCAAACCGUGUGGCCUCUCUAACUCAUUUUUCCUAAGACCACGGUUUUAACUGGUUGCUUAUCAGACAAGUUUAAUGUAUAAAACUGCUGUAAUCUUUCAAAAUGGAGGAAGAAGAUCCUCACACAUGUGACUGCAAAAAUUAGCUCCAGGCCUGGAGAGAGAAGUGUUUCCAGAUUCUUCUGCAUCCUUUUAGACGGAAGGGGUUCUUGAGCCUCACUAUUCUUCAUUUACAGAAUGAGGAUAUUAAUACCCACCUCACAGGGUUACUGUGAGGAUUAACGUGGAUAAAAUUAAAUGAAGCAAAGUAUGUGAGAAUACGUUCCAAAUCAUAGUUAAAAAAUGUGAAGUAUUCUUUCAUGGAUAGGUAUGGAGAUUGGCUAACGUUUAUUUGUUAGGUAACUCUUAUAAGGUAGAGGAUCAUUUCAAACUAUUUCCAAAUUUUACCUUUUCUCUUUCUCCCUUCUCCCCUCCAUUCUCGUUGUCCUUUCCCAAUGCCUCCUUCUUAGCCUGUUUCAAUAACUUUAUAACUCUACCCACUAAAAUCUCUCCUCUCUCCUCUCUGAUCCAUUUUCUUCCAAAGUCAUCUCUCUCAAACCUUUUAUGCUCUUUCCUACUUUAGAUUUUCUUCAAGACCAGUGACCUUCUUUGUUUGUUCUUUUUUUUGCAUCCAUCUCUAGUCUCUGGAAUAAAGUAACUCAGUAAUGUUUAUUUUUAGUUUGUUUAAGCAACAAAAUCUGGUGGCCAAGAGCAAGCUAUUCUCCAAAGUUGGACCCACCAUCCCAGUUGUUUAACUGAGAAAUAAAUGCUAUCCUGACUUACAAACUUCUACAUGAGGAAGAGAUGUCUUUUUCUAAUUUAUCUGGAGGCCCUGUGUGGACCAGCAGAAGCCAGUCCUUGUUGAUGGGGGUGGAGAAAAACAUCCAUCAGAGUCCUAACGGAGAGAGAUUAAAAGAUGAAGAAGACUUGGCUCCUGUCCUUUAGGUGCUUCUAGCCUCGUCUGGAGCUAGAUGUGUUGCAGUUCUAACGUUUAUUUGAAAGCAAUACUCCUGUUAUUGGUUUUGUCCAUUAUUGUGUGGCAGUGGCUUAAUGCCUAGGACUUGACUUCAGAACAAAAACAGCAGCGUACAACCUACCCUACCUUGAGGCAGCGAAGCAAAAGAGGCUGAAAGAUGGAAGCCGCUCGGUGAGGAUGCUGAAAUAAACUUUGAAACUCAUGGAGGCUGUUUGAAGAUAAAAGAAGAGUUGUUUAUGAGCCAACGAUGAAAGUGUGUAAAGGGCCACAGGCCCUGUCUCCAAAGACAGUCAUAUUGAGCGAUCGGGCUUCAAAAUAUGAAUUUUAGGCAGGCAUAAUUCAGUCUACAGCAAGGGACGCUCUACAGAAUACCUGACCAAUACUCCUUAAAAGUAUCAAGGUAUCAAAAACAAGGUAAAUCUGAGAAACUGUUACAGUCAAAGAGGAGCCUAAGGAGACAUGAGCACUAAAAGUAAUCUGGUAUCCUGGACGGGAUCCUGGAGGCAAAAAGGACACUAGGAAAAUUAGCCCAUAGCUAACAUUGGCCACAAAUCCUCUUCUUUUUGCUGAGAAAGACUGGCCCUGAUCUAACAUCCAUGCCCAUCUUCCUCUACUUUAUAUGUGGGAUGCCUGCCACAGUGUGGCUUGAUGAGCCGUGCGUAGGUCUACACCCAGGAUCUGAACCAGCAAACCCUGGGCCACCAAAGCGGAAUGUAUGAACUUAACUGCUGCACCUCUGGGCUGGCCACUACAAACUAUUUUAAGAGAACAAAAGACGACAGAACAGAAAUACUGGAACAAUAGAGAAUGGCUUCACUCAUCACUAUGUAUAGCACGGACAACAGAGGAGAACCGAAUUAUUGACAAAUGUACCACAUAUUACAGUAAGAACCUCCAAAUUAUCUAAAAGUAAAGCACUAAAAAGCAGAAAGGACAACAGACACUUAUCCUAACUCCGAUUAGGUGUUCCUUUACCUGAUCUGGAUAUUCUACUUCCAUUUAUAUUUUCCCUUGGCCUAAUUUCCUAAUUCUAUUUCUAUUUUGGCAUGAUUAUAUUGUGCAUAUUCCUCUGUAAACUUUUUCUAUUACCUUUUGGAACAGGAUAGGAAAUUUAUAAUUGGAAAAUAAAUUCCUAAGUAUUGAAGAAACCAAGGAUAUCAUCAUAGACAAGAUGGGAAGUUCUGAUAUGGUUCUGCCUUUUUUCUGACCUAUUCCACGCUUUUUUUUCUGACAAACCACACAACAGCCCACACGGAGCUGAAAACUAGUGAUGGUGCCAUUCAUCUCAGAUUGGCUCAGAUUGCUCUUAAUUUGAUCCGCUUCUGAAUCCUCACUAGCUCUCUGACCUCAGAUGACUCAGCCUUUCCAGUGUGCACCCUGAUUGGCCAGCUUCAGUGGCUCAGUCCAUCUCAUUGGAGCAAAGCUUCUCUCAGACUCUCCAUCAGUGGCUGUGUGGGGGGCUGUCUGCCUGUUCUCUCUGCCUUGCCUGGGGAGCCUGCCUGAGAACUGCCCCACGGACGAUGCUAUUGCUUAUGAUUGGCUCUCCCAGCCUCUGCCUGCAUCUCUGGAUCUGGGACUCAGACAAGGAGAUUUAAAUACAUAAAGCUAAAAAUGUUCUGUAUAACGAGAAUUUUGUAUAACAAAAUUUCAAAGAAAACAACAGAAUGACAAAAUAAUAGAUAAAAUUUGUUACAAAAAUUUUUGUCCAUCUUGUACAUAUGCUAUGGAAAGAAAAAAACUAUGAUAUGAAACAAUACAACAAUUAUACACAUGCUACAUAAAUUUAUAUAAAUGUGUCAUACCAAUACUAAAAGCCAGUUCAAUAUAGAGAUGAGGAGACAGUAUAUGUAUGCAAAAGAAAAGUGAGAAAAGAAAUCAACACGUGACAAAAUUGAGCGUAUGGAUCUCAAAAUUGAGGGAAUGGAUUCUAAAACAGUAUUUAGGUAGCGUUUUAUACAUAUUUAAGUAUCGGAAAUCAACAGUUAUAGCAAAACACAAUGGUAAUGAGUGGGCUUUGGGGAAGGCACAAUUAAAAGGGCUGCCAGCAUUGUAGAUUGCUUUAGUCCUUUUGAGAGCAGUCUGGCAAAAUUGAAAACAAAGUUUUAACAUUGUUCCUCCAUUUUGAUGUGGUAGGUCCACUUCUGGGCCUCCACCCGUGGUGGUGAGGUUCAGACCAGGCUCUAAGGAGUCCUAGAGGAAAAGAGGGUGGUAAGGUUAGGGGUUAGGGUUUUGCCUUUGUCACUGCUCAUGCAUUGUGUGUGUGUGCAUUUUCUUUUAAAUUAGACAAUUAAAAUUUGAGUAAACAGAGGGUUUAGAAGGAGUUAAAGUUUAGUUGAAGCUAGUGCUCUGUGGAGGUGUCUCUAAGGAGAAAAAUGUGUUAUAUGAAGAUGUUAAAAAUAACUCAGUUUAAAAUAGCAGAAAACAGGACACAACUCCAAAAGCCAAAAAAGACCAAGGCAAACAACAAUAGCAUCACAAAGGAGGACAACAUAACUAUUCUAUGACAUAAAAAAGGCAAGUAUGGGGCUUACUGAGGUACAAGGGAGUAUUAAAUAAAGUGAAGAAAAAGCAGAAUACAAAACAAUGCAUGCAUGAUACAAUGACAUAAAAAUGUAUGUGCAGUGACAAAAAUUGGAAAAUAAUUUAGAGAAAUAUAAAUAGAGCUUAAGUUCUUUAGGUUUUUUUCUAUAAAAAUGAUUAAAGUGCAAAUUUUAAAAAAUAUUCUUUACGUCUAUAGAAGAAUAUGGGUUAUUUGGACCGAACUUUCUUAGAUGAAUGAUCCAAUUAAAAUUAUUAUAAUUUAUUUAUGUACAAGGACAACAUACCAGUUUUUGUAAGUUUCUAUAAAAUUAAAG